rnacentral:tRNA from 1 species
UAAGUGAAUGCUCGCUGGUUAGGGCGCUUAGCUGUUAACUAAGAGUUCGAAGGAUCAAAGCCUUCUCAUUUAG